UCCGAUAUGGUGUAGUGGCUAACAUUAUCGCCUCUCAUAAAGUGUGCUUCGCGAUAGCCCGGGGUUCGAUUCCCCGUGUCGGAA